GUUUUAAUAGUUUAAAAAAAACACUGGUCUUGUAAGCCAAAAAUAAGAUAUUCUUUUAAAACU
rnacentral:tRNA from 1 species